GACGAACGCUGGCGGCGUGCUUAACACAUGCAAGUCGAACGGAAAGGCCCUGCUUUUGUGGGGUGCUCAAGUGGCGAACGGGCGGGUGACACGCGAGUAACCUGCCCUUGCCUUUGGGAUAACUUCAGGAAACUGAGGCUAGUACCUGCUAGGAGCUCCUGCUGCAUGGCGUGGGGGGGAAAGUUUCGGCGGUUGGGGAUGGAAUCGCGGCUUAUCAGCUUGUUGGUGGGGUAGUGGCUUACCAAGGCGUUGACGGGUAGCCGGACUGAGAGGGUGACCGGCCACAUUGGGACUGAGAUACGGCCCAGACUCCUACGGGAGGCAGCAGUGGGGAAUAUUGCACAAUGGGCGGAAGCCUGAUGCAGCAACGCCGCGUGCGGGAUGACGGCCUUCGGGUUGUAAACCGCUUUCGCCUGUGACGAAGCGUGAGUGACGGUAAUGGGUAAAGAAGCACCGGCUAACUACGUG
rnacentral:rRNA from 1 species